rnacentral:misc_RNA from 1 species
GAUGAAGAACGUAGCGAAAUGCGAUAAGUAAUGUGAAUUGCAGAAUUCCGUGAAUCAUCGAAUCUUUGAACGCACAUUGCGCCCCCUGGUAUUCCGGGGGGCAUGCCUGCCCGAGCGUCAUUUCAACCCUCGACCUCCCCUUGGGGAGGUCGGCGUUGGGGACCGGCAGCACACCGCCGGCCCUGAAAUGGAGUGGCGGCCCGUCUGCGGCGACCUCUGCGUAGUAAUACAGCUCGCACCGGAACCCCGACGCGGCCACGCCGUAAAACACCCAACUUCUGAACGUUGACCUCGAAUCAGGUAGGACUACCCGCUGAACUUAAGCAUAUCAAUAAGCGGAGGA